ensembl:lncRNA
UCCAGCUGCCCACUGUGAGCACGGCCUUGCUAACCACACCUCACUGGUUUCUUUCCCUUCUCUCUUUUGCUUCCUUAGAUGCCUCCAGUGUAUCUUGCAUCUGCCAUCCUGAAACCCCACUAAAAUCCUUAUCUGUAUGGAAACUCCUAAGAAAACUCAUUCCAUACACCUUCAGGACCCUGCAUUCCUUGGGGUGCCGUCCUCAUAUUUCUGGGUCAAAGUGGGAUCUUACCAAUUUGUGCAUUCUCUUGGCCCCAAGGAAGAAUAACAAACACAGAGAUUAGAAGCUUCCUUCUGUUGGCUUAAUCCAGAACCGGGAAACCAAGCACUUUAGUGAUGAAAUCAAGGAGAAGACGGUGGCCAGACACAGACUGAAUGUGAAGAGGGCAGAAGGCCAGGAGGUUGCUCUCUGCGAUGGCUAACUCUGAUUGUCAACUGGAUUGGAUCUGGAAUCAAGGAAAGAACACAGCUCAAGAUGAGAAGAUUCAGCUAAGAAGACCAGAGCCAGAUUCUCAGCUUAGAUCUUCUGAGACCAAUUUCAGUAGAAGUGCUUCAGCAGGAUUCCCAGAGUAUCAGCAUCUCCCUUCCCCAGGGAACCUUUUCUUUCUGCCAACCUCCUCGUUCCACAGACAAUAGAGGACACGAGGGGGCACCUGGCUCUGUCAGCAUCCUCAUGGUUCAUAGCACCUGGGCAAGUUCAGUCAGGUUUUCUCUAACCACCUCUGCACAAAUGCUAGGCAAAUGUCCCCAGGUUUCUGGAUGGUAUGGGUGAAGUGGUUUGUGGACAGGAGAACUCCCCGGGCUUUUUUGCAUGUCUGCUUCUCACUGAAGGCUACUUACAGAGAUGCAUAAGCAUGCUAUUGUUUUCAAAACGCACAGACUGCUCCUCCACUGCUACUGCUACGCUCCAGGCUUCUCAGUGUUGGGCACUGCUGAGGUCCUUAAGAAAUGCUUUCUAAGAGACCUUUUCCAGCUUUGACCAUCAUUGCACUUUCCAGGGUAGAGAAGCAGGGUUGGCUGUGUGCUCCUCCUGUGCCUGCACAGUGUCUAAAGUCCACAUGUGGCAGAAAGUCCCUGCUUGGCUUAAUGUUCUGCUGCCAUUGUCUUGAAAGCCUCAACCAUUUUUAAGAAACCUUCCCCCACCCCAUGCCUGUCAUGUCAUGGCUCCUGUAAAAGCAGCUUCCUAUCUCAAUGUUAUCCAACCCCUAGUCCUAUGGAUCCCAAAGGCUGACUUGUUCUUUGUAUAUUGGAUAACUAAACAGAUCUAAGGAAGUUUAAUACUCAGACUUUCUCUCAAUUUUUAUUCUUUCUGUUCUUGGUAUCAUGAUUAGAAUGCUU